UACGUAGGGUGCAAGCGUUAAUCGGAAUUACUGGGCGUAAAGCGUGCGCAGGCGGUUUCGUAAGUCUGUCGUGAAAUCCCCGGGCUUAACCUGGGAAUGGCGAUGGAGACUGCGAGGCUAGAGUUUGGCAGAGGGGGGGUAGAAUUCCACGUGUAGCAGUGAAAUGCGUAGAGAUGUGGAGGAACACCGAUGGCGAAGGCAGCCCCCCUGGGUCAAAACUGACGCUCAUGCACGAAAGCGUGGGGGAGCAAACAGG
rnacentral:rRNA from 1 species